UUAUCUCUGUAGAGUCUGCAUAUCAAUAAGCGGAGGAAAAGAAACUAACAAGGAUUCCCCUAGUAACGGCGAGCGAAGCGGGAAGAGCUCAAAUUUGAAAUCUUAAAGGGUUUCCCUUUACGAAUUGUAGUUUAAAGAAGUGUUUUCUGUUGAGGUUUUGGUAAAAGUUCUUUGGAAUAGGACAUCAUAGAGGGUGAGAAUCCCGUAUUUGACCUUUACUUUCAACUUUGUGAUACACUUUCAAAGAGUCGGAUUGUUUGGGAAUGCAGUCCAAAAUGGGUGGUAAAUUUCAUCUAAAGCUAAAUAUUGGCGAGAGACCGAUAGCGAACAAGUACCGUGAGGGAAAGAUGAAAAGAACUUUGAAAAGAGAGUUAAACAGUACGUGAAAUUGUCAAAAGGGAAGCGUUUGACACCAGUGUUGUUUUUCUGAAAAUCAAUUAAAGAACUGUUUAUGCUAAGUUGUUUAGACUUUAUCAGCUAACUGUUUAGUUUUGAGCUUUUCUUUAAUGCACUUUUCAGUUAACAAGUCAACAUCAAUUUCUUUUGCUGUAAAAAAGCUUGAGGAAGGUGGCUUGAGAUUCGUCUUAAGUGUUUAUAGCCUCUUGCCUAUGCAGUCGGAGAGAUUGAGGUCUGCAGCGUAGAUCCUUCGGGGCUAAAUGCAUUUGUGCUAAGUUAUAGCAUUUUAUAGACAACUUGUUGACUAUGAUUUGUCUUGUAGCUUACUCGCUUAUGUUAUUUUACCUACGCUUAGGAUGUUGACGAUCAGCUGAGCGCG
rnacentral:rRNA from 1 species